GAAGAGAACAGGCAGAGCGGCCAUGCACAGCUUUGGAGUAUUCAGAGGGAACUUCAUUCUCCUGUAGCCUUCAUUCUCCUGUAGCCUCCUAUAAAGGAUCACUUUCCGACCCGAAGGGAAGAAGAGGAGUAUGACGACUGGCUACUGCCUCCACCAUGGCCCUCUGCUGAACCACCGUCAAUGCCUCCAGAGGGUGAGGAGACACAGAGGGUCCCAAUGAUAGAUAGAAUUAUGAAGGAACUCCAGCUAAUCAGAGAUAGUGCUGUAUCUAACUCAGCAAUUAGAAGUCAUCUGUCUUCAACCCCUAAAAGACCACCAGCAAUGGAAGUUUCAUGAUACUCAGUUGCUGACUCACUGGUCGCAUUUUUACUCAUCAUGCAUCAGCUCUCCUUCUGUUAUAGACUCGGCUAAAUCUGGGCCUCUACCUAAACACGUACUAGGACCUCACAUGAGUCAUCAUACCCCCUCUCAAGACAUACCAUACCAGCCUUUAUCAGCUAGGGUGAAGGAAAAGGAAUACCAUGGGCCAACACCGAAAAUUCCCCUCUUUAUCCAUAGGGACCCCAUGGAAUUCUCCUGCCUGAAGCUCGUCCUAAUGAAUCUGUUGCCAAGGGAUGCCACUGAGCUCUUCAAAUAUCAGGUUCUCGUGGACCAUCUGAGGUUGGAGGAAGCUUGCCUUAUAGGCGACUCAUACAUCAAUUCGCCUAUACCGUACUCAGACACAAUGGCCACAUUGAAUGAGAAGUUCGGGCAGCCACAUCAAGAUGCCUUAAAGAGGAUUGCUGCUGUCAUGGACUCACCAGAGAUACGGCGGGGUGAUACGGCAGCCUUUGAGAAGUUUGCUUUGCAUGUUCAGUCGUUAGUGGGCAUGUUAAAGACCCUGGGCUCUGAUGGAGAAGUUGAGCUGAGAUGCGGCUCACACAUUGCACGGCUGCUCACGAAACUUCCGCCUGAGUUGAGGGCAAAUUUCAGACGUCAGAUGUUCCAUCGACCUGGCUCUACUCAUAACCUGCUUGACUUAGCAGAGUGGCUCCAGUAUGAGUUGUGGUGUCAAAGUUAUGACACCCUAUCUGACACCCGAGUCCAAGGGUCACUGAGCCACAAAGCUGAGAAGCGACACAGUAGAUCAGCGGCUACCGUGCUACAUGGGGCAGAGAGCUCUGGAGGUAGUAAGGCCACAAAGCAAGAUGGUCAGAGUUCCUCAGAUUUCAAAAGGAGAGGCAAGAUAAAGCCGUACUGCCCAUAUUGUGAGAGUUCAGAACAUUUUCUGAAUAAGUGCCCAGCCAUUCAGAAGUUCACAAGGGAGGAAGUCAUAGAGUGGAUCAAGGUGAAUAAAAGAUGCUGGAGAUGUGGGAGGGCCCACCUAGCUGCACAGUGCGACCUCAAAAGACUCUGUGACCUGUGCCAAGGAAAGCACUUGAGAGUUCUCCACAGUGUGAACACCCGUCCCACUGCAGAGCCACCCAAAGUAGAGAGUUGUCUAGUGAACAACGGUACCAAGGUUCUUUACCUGGAUCGGCCAUCAACUUCCACUCGUGUCCUAUUAAAGGUUGUGAGAGUGCUUCUUCGGAACAAGGACCGAACUCUUGACACCUACGCGGUAUUGGAUGAUGGAUCGGAACGCACAAUGCUCCUUCCAGAAGCUGUUGACCGACUUGAUUUGCAAGGUAGACAAGAGGAUCUUGUCCUUCGCACAAUACGACAGGAUGUCCAAACCUUGAAGGGAUCAUCCGUCUCAUUCUGCAUAUCACCCCUUGCACAUCCCAGAAGAAGUUUUCAGGUAGCCGAGGCGUUCACUUCACAGCGCCUCAGUCUUGCUGAUCACUCAUAUCCCAUCUCCAUGUUGAAGAGGAAAUAUAAGCAUCUGGCAGACCUCCCUAUUGAACCAUUCGAGCAUGUCAAGCCACUUGUAUUGAUAGGAGCGGAUCACCCCCAUCUGCUCACUCCAGUCGAGCCAGUGAGGUUAGGCCCUCCAGGGGGACCGGCAGCUAUCCGUACAAGACUGGGUUGGACGCUUCAGGGACCGACUCACCUCAUCCAGUGGAUAGCAUGCGCAGAACAGUGCCUCCUUACCAGUGUUUCACCGCAGACAACAGAGUUGAUGAGAAAUGUUGAGAAACUCUGGCAGAUGGAUGUGCUGCCUUUUCAGAGGGACAAGAUGGCAGAGAGAUCGAAGCAAGACAAGGAGGCAAUAGAGCACCUGGAGGCAAAGACAAGGAGGGUAGAAGUUGCUGGCAUCUUUCGGUAUGCUACUCCGUUGCUACGGAAACAAGAUAUGCCCCUGUUCCACGCAUCCAAAGAGGCGGUUCUACUGAGCUUGAGGAGUACAGAGAAAAGAUUGGCUAAGGAUCCUCAACGUGCCAAAGCUUACUGUGAGGCAGUAAAUCAGCUGGUACAAUCAGGAGCUGUUAAGAAGUUGGGCCCAGAUGAGAUCUCAAUGACUGGUGAAUCAUGGUACAUACCUCAUCACCUAGUUAGCCAUAAUGGGAAGAAUCGGCUUGUUUUCAACUGUUCCUACCAGUAUCGUGGACUGAAUCUGAAUGAUGCCCUUCUUCCAGGACCGACCUUGGGCGCAUCUCUUCUUGGGGUCCUGCUGCGCUUUAGGCAACAAGCAGUAGCAAUUAGUGGAGAUAUCAGGGGUAUGUUCCACCAAGUCCAGCUUCUGCCAGAAGACCGGCCACUUCUCAGGUUUGUGUGGAGAGAUAUGAAGCGAGAGGAUCCCCCUGAUACCUUCGAAUGGCAAGUUCUGCCUUUUGGUACCACCUGCUCACCUUGUUGUGCCACCUUUGCUCUUCAACGGCAUGCUAGAGAUCACAGUGUUCCAGGGGAUGGUGUCAGAGACUCUGUAGAACGCUGUUUCUACGUUGAUAAUUGCCUUCAGAGCGUGUCAACUGCAGCUGAAGCCAGAGGAUUGGUCGACAAACUCAGGGAGACUCUGGCAUCGGGUGGAUUUGAGAUCCGUCAGUGGGCAUGUAACAUCCCGAGUGCCAUCGGACAUCUGCCAAAGGAAGCAAGGUCGGACAGUAUGGAGCGCUGGCUCUCACAUGAUGACACAGGUCUGUCUGAAUCAACUCUUGGACUUAGUUGGCAUUGGGAAUCAGACAUCUUGGGGUAUAAGAGCCGCCCACUGGACUAUGGCAUACUGACUAUGCGCAAUGUGUAUAAAGUUCUAGCUCGGCAGUAUGACCCUCUGGGUUUCAUAUUACCCUACACAACCCGCGCCAAGUUGCUUGUCCAAAGAAUGUGGGAUAAGCACCGUCACUGGGACGACCCCCUUCUUCCUCAGGAGCUCCAGUUAGCUUGGAAAGAGUGGGAAGACGAACUCCAUCUGUUGCCUCGCAUAACCUUACCUCGAUCUUAUGUUCCAGCUCACGUGGGUCAAACGGUUGUCUCUAGACAGAUCCACAUAUUCAGCGAUGCGUCGGAGAAAGCCUAUGGCUCUGUUUCUUACCUGCGGACCGAGGAUGCCCAAGGCCAAGUCUACCUGUCCUUCCUGGCAGCGAGAUCAAGAGUCGCUCCCCGGCGACAACACUCCAUUCCACGUCUUGAGCUCUGCGGUGCUCUAACAGCAGCCCAACUGGCAAAGAUGUUGGAAGGGGAGCUGACCUUGAAGAUUGAUAAGACUAUACUUUGGAGUGAUUCAACUACGGUGCUUACCUGGCUGCAGUCGGAGUCGUGCCGUUUCAAGGUAUUUGUGGGCACCCGUGUAGCUGAAAUUCAGGAGCUCACGGAACCCAGUGCCUGGCGGUAUGUGGACUCCUCACUGAAUCCAGCCGAUGAUGUCACGCGGGGUAAGACUCUUGGGGAGCUCGCCGUGCCUAAUCACUGGAGUCAAGGGCCCCCUUUCCUCCUCAAGGGACCCCACGAAUGGCCAUCUCAAUUACCUAGGCUGCCUGAUUCAGAUUUGUCAGAGUACAGGAAGUCAGUUUCCUGUGGUAUUGUGACUAACGGUGACUGGCCAUGUUCUUUACAGGGUGGCCAACACACUUGGAAGGAUCUGGUUGAGGCUACGGUGCGUGAGCUUCACGGGGCGGCAGGACUGGGUAGUGAGGUUACUGCUUCAGACUAUCAUCAAGCAGAAAUGAUCAUCUACAAGAGAAUCCAGCAGGACUGCUUCCCAGAAAAACUGCUCCACCUCAAGAAGGGCAAGUCAGUACCAAAUAGUAGUCGACUACUUACCUUGUCCCCAGAGUUAGACCCUGAGGAUGCGAUCAUACGUGUUGGUGGUAGAUUGCGGCGGGCUGAAGCUCUCGAUUCUGCUUUUAAACACCCGAUCGUCUUGGAUCCCAGUCAUCCAGCCACCAAGCUCCUUAUACAGGACUAUGACACUCGUCUCUGUCACCCUGGACCUGAACGGGUUUACGCAGAAAUGCGUUGCACUUUCUGGAUACUGCACGGGAGAGAGGCAAUUCGUCAUAUACAACAUCUCUGUAAGGAGUGUAGGAGAUGGAAGGCCAAGCCAUCGGUGCCCAAGAUGUCAGACUUACCAGUGGCCCGUCUGCGUUUAUAUAAGCCAGCCUUCUAUUCCACGGGUGUGGACUGUUUUGGGCCUUUCCAGGUGAAGUUGGGACGCCGCUCUGAGAAGAGAUGGGGCAUUAUUUACAAAUGUCUCACCACACGAGCGGUGCACCUGGACCUCUUACACAGCUUGGAUUCAGACUCGUUUCUAAUGAGCCUCAGGAGAUUCAUUGCCCGUAGAGGUACGCCAGCUGAACUGUACUCGGAUCAGGGCACAAAUUUCAAGGCAGGAGAGAAAGAGCUUCGUGAGACAUUUGAUGGUCUAUCCUCAGAGCUUCAGCAACUUCUAGCGAAGCAGAAGAUUACUUUCCACCUCAACCCCCCAGCAGCACCCCAUUUUG
ensembl:lncRNA